CGGAGUUUCAACAGGCCAUACA
rnacentral:miRNA from 1 species